CUCCCCCUGCUGCCGCGCCUCCUUCGCACUAGGCUAACUGCUUUUCCACGCAUAAGCGCAAUUCUAAAAAAUUAAUGUCGCUUUCGUAAUUUCAGCACACAAAAAAACUGCCGACGCUGGCAGCGCAGCUAGCGUCAGCGCCAACAACAGCGCCAGCGACAGCAACAGCGACAGCGACAGCGAAUGUCUUAGUUAGCGAGAAAAAAAGGAGGAAGAAGAAGAAGCAGCAGCAGUAGCAGUUGAAAAAAAACAUUGCAGCUCGCUAGGGGCGAAAAAAUGGGAUCAAGCAAUACUGAGGCUGUAAUAUUCCAUAAUCAUGUAUGAAAACUGAUCUCAAUGAUUCCUAAAAGUGCAAGAAAUACUUUGAGUGACCUUGAGCGAGAUUGCAGAACAGGAGGAGAUGAGGCACUCUGCAGAACUAUCUCAAGUAACUCUCUAAUGGGCGUCUUACUUCAACUUGGCGGCGAAUCAAUCGAUACACGGCCGCAAUCCGUUGGCCAAUUCGCUGGGGACAAGGGCACAACAAAGCGCUGAAACCUUGACUCACGCUGGUCGGUGGAUGGGACUAUAGGACCAGCUGAAUACAUACAUACAGACAUAUAUAUUUAUACUUGAUUUUCCCAGGAAAUGUCUUUCCAUUUCUAAGCUAAUUGAAAAUAUUAAAAGAGUAAGGACUUAUUAUUUUAUGUAGGCCAUUCAAAUUUUGUCCUUUUUUCUUUAUGUAAUAUAUAUAUCCUAUGCGAAUAUAGCAUGAUCUCCAAAUAAAGUAUUUAUGUAUCCGUCGUAAA